CCACUCGGCAGGACAUACAGAUAGCACCAGAACAUAGUGCUGCUUUUUUUGCCCUUGCUCUUGCUUCUGCUUUGCUUUUGCUUGCUCUUGCUCUUCUCCCUCUUCUCAUUAGUUAAUUUAGCUAAACAGUCCAAAUUCCUUCCUGGAUUGUUUCACCUCUCCUGUUUGGACCUACUGACCUGCUCCGGACUAGGACUUGGGAAACACCGAGAGAGAGUUUACACUGUGUGACCGCAGCAGCUGCCCAGCACCGGAGGGACUGAUAACAGCGACCACCCCCAGGAGAGACUUUCUGAAUUUGUCAUCUUUUUCAGAGUGGUGAAAGAGCGGUGUCAUCAGCUGACCUGAAAAUGGGCAUGGCAUGGCCAUUCCUGCGGUUUCCAUGGGCUUUUCCAAGCGGAUGUGGCUGUUCCAGCAGCUCCUCCACCAACACAUGUUGAGUGAUAAGCAACUCUGGGGAAAGACAACAAAUAAAGACAUCACAAGAACAAAUAUGGGACUGGUACUGAGAGAAAAUGUUCAAGAAAACAGAGCAAAAAAGUAGAAAGGAGGUCGAUACUAAGGACCUGAGGAGCCCUUUGAAGGACAGAGCAGUGUGGACAGCUUUGUCAGACAGGGUGAGAGAUGCCUCCUUUUUGUGCCUUUGGUUUUGGCACAGAAGGAAGACUCUGGAAGGAUGGAAGAAAUUAAUUAGUCUUUUUCCCUCUGAUACCACCACUUCUCCAGUCCUAGAAAAUUUGCUCAGAGUCAUGGACCUCUGCCUUGUUCCUGGUCAGAAGAUGAAGUCCUGCCCUGGGGACUCUGCAGCUGCUCCCAAGGGUGAAGGAGUGUAAAACACUGUAUAAGCAAUAAGAAAAAUAUCUUGCUGGUAAUAAUCAUAUGUUAAAAAAGCAACAAAAAAAUUCAAGCAAGUGUUUCUGGCAGUAAUGCACCUGUAUAAUGGAUUCCUGAUUUAUCUACCAUACCUGCUACUCACUUUCAGCUCUAGCAGGAAUCAAUAAUCCUUCAAACACAAUCUCCAUACAAAUUCUCCUCACAGGGACCACAUUCAUAACUAGUAUUUGUUUACAGUCAUAUUAUAGAGAUGUGAGUAAAAUUUAUUAUGGCACUCUGAAUAAAGCCUGUAGGCCACAUAAAACAAGUAUAACUCUCAGUUGUGUCACUUCCCAUAACUCAGGCUCUGAAAAGCAUGACAAGAUUCAUCAAUUCUUGUUAGUCCCAGUAUCAAAUAAUGUAUGAACAUAUGAAUAAAAAAAACCAAAAAUCCAGCUUGGUUUUGUACAUGCAAAGUACACACAGUCCUAAGAGCUUUAUUAAUUUAUUUUCUUUAUAAAAUCUUACUCAUUGUGGGCUCACUCUGGUUUCCUGAUGGAAACCAGUGGCAUAAUGUAAUUAUUUUAAGUGUGCCAGCAGUUUACUGAAAAUUAUGCUAUCAACCUGGGUUUACACUCAGUGUAAUCCUCCUGUUUAAUUUGAGGGUAUUUUUCCUGUCUUUUUAAACAUCUACAAAGAAAUGCAGGGAAGACUAUUAAUGACAUCUGCAGUAGCAAGGGAGUUGCCAACACUUUCCUUUCUUCAAAUCCAAUUGCAAGUUUGAGUCUACAGUCUUAACAUUCUGCUUCUUAAAAGCUGGUGGGUAUCUUGAGAGGUAUCCAAGGAAUCCCUAAAUGGUAUUACAACCAGGAAAAAUUAUCAGCCUCCAGCAUUUUGAGCUGGAGCAUAACAGUCAUUUUGUUUCCAUUAGAUAGAAGACAUAUCACAGAACUGAAUUGUUUAAAGCCACUAAACUCAAUCAGCCCACACAUUAUUCCAAAUCUGAAAAAAUCUAUGUUGCUUCAUGUUAAUGAAAUGUGCCAUAAUUCUGAUAUUUUUGUGGAAACACUGCUGUGGAAAUAAAGGUAAAAGAAUGCUGCAAUGAGACCCAGACUGGUUCUAAAAUGUAAGGGCUAUGUACUAGUAAAACACUAAUGCCACAUGGAAAGGACUGAAGAAAAAACACAUUUUUAAUUUAUUUAUCCUCUUCUAUAUGCACAGAGCUCACCAUCAGAACAGUUUGAUCAGAGUAUAAUGGAAAUAAAUGUAUUGUAUUAAUUCACCAAGCAUUUCCUAAUUAUGUGACACUGUCAGUAAGCUGUCUGCUUUUGCUGUAUUUGCUCGUUUUAAGUUCACACAAAGAAUUAUAAAUACAAAUGGUCUCUUUAUAUUCCUUCUCAGCAUUGUUUGGAUAUUACUGCUUUUACUCUAAGAACGUCAUCUUUUUGAAGAGAAUGCUUGUACCAUUCAUAUAUUUCACUGGGAGAAAGAUGAAUUAAUGUUAUUAUAAAAUUACUGGCAUGUGCUAUAAAAACAAGAUCAUCUAAUUUUGUGAUAAAUACAAUCUACAAGAGGGAAGAGAUAUAACUGUCUAUUUUCAUAUCAUGCUUUGAAACGGCAAUGGAAACAAUACUCUAAGAUGCUAGAUUUGCAGAUUUAAGGAAUAGAACUCCUCUGUCUGUGAAUAUGAUGGAGGGGGGAGAACCACCCUGUUUUCACAGUACUCCUCAUUUUUAUCCAAUUGAUUUCAUAGGAACUAUUGAUAGCCCUUUAACUGUUAUUGCUCUCCUGUAAAAUUAGACUAUCUAUAUGAAGGAUGAAAUUACAAGUGUUACAGAAUUAUUCACUAAGUCAUCUCCCCAGAAAUUAUUUUCUUGAUAGCAUGAGUUCUUGAGAUACACAAUUGCUUCAUUAAUUGCUCAUUUUUUUUACCCUUCAAUUUUCCUUGACUUUAUUUGGUGAGGUUCACAUUGAAGGAGGCCACUUCCUAAGGGCUCAUCCCACCAGCUGACCAGUUCUCUUUCUUUAUUGGCUUUUUCUGAAACACCCCCCAGGGGAGGCUCUGUAACUGCUGGUUUUGAGGUGCUUCUUGGUUCCAUACAAAACCUUUUGAGAUAAUGUGGAAUUAGGAGCAGCUGAUGGUGACAGAGCUUAGGAAAACUUGCAUUAAAAGUUUGUUGUGCACUGGUAAGCUCAUGAAAAAAAAAUCUUCUGUAGAGUUUUAAUCAAAGACUGAAUGACAAUCUAUUAGGGUACAUAUUUUGAAUAACUUGUUAAAUACCAUAAUGCUGGUCUAGCUGGAAAUGCUUAAGUAACUUUCUGACAGUUGCAGAGAAAUGCAGUAUAAUGAGUACAAA